CCGGGCGGCGGGGCCGGGCCGGUGGUCCGGCGCGCCGGAGAAUAACCUUUCUGUGUGGAUGUGUGGUUUUUAAAUCCCCGGCUCUGCCGGAGCUAAGGCACGCCGCGGAGAGCACAGCAGUUAGUUGCCCGGGAGCGGCGGGCGUCCUCCCCGAGAGGCAGAAGGGCCGAGGGGAGCCGGGGCCGGGGCAGCGCCGUCCUGCCCCAUCCCCAGCGGGCGACUAGUCCCGUUGAACCAGCUGGGCGCUGGUGGGACGUGGAAACCUGCUGUCAAUGCAAAACCCCGAAGUUCAAAUACUGGAGGGUUUGGGGUUUUGUUUGGGUUUUUUUUUUUUUUUCCAGUUAAAGAAAGGCAGGAAACUGGGUGCGAAGCGGAAGGUGCAUCUUCAGAGCGAACACAGCAGUUCUUUAAUGGUGGAUUACAUCUCUCUUUCAGGGACGGGGAGGAAGGGGAGUAAUUGAUGCCCUCCCUGGUGAGGUAUCACUGCACUCGGUGGACGUUUGUGCUUUUCUGUACGACACAGACUAUGAGGUGACAUAUCUCUAUGCUAAUGCCUGUAUUUAUGUAACGUUUUAGGGACUUUGUGCCGUCUUCCAGAUGCAGUUUAUAUAUUCACAUCCCUUCUGGAGAGUAUUACCUCCACUCUGUAGGUGCAAAAGCUUUUGCGUAACGCUGUGGAGUGGCUGUGCUCCAAGUCAGGACACCUAGGAAUCCCCAGAACCUCACUCGCUGGUUCCUAGCCUUCCAUCUUAACCAUGAGGCCAUCCUUCCUCACUUAGGUAGAUAAGUGAGCAUAGUGUUCUCCCUUCACCUGAGAAUUAGGAUGUGAAUCAUGUUUGAGACACUAAAUGGAAAAAAUCAAGUUGUGUCAUAAUUUCUUAGUUCUCCCUUCACUUCCUCAUGCUUACUACUAAUUAUUUUAGGGUUUUUUUUUCCUAGUCUUGUUUAAGAAAAAAACUGGGGAAAAAAAAUUAUCUGUGCUUGGCUUCAUUCAACAUCAAGCUUUUAUGGUAAUACUAUUUGUAAUCGAGUUAAUCUUUUGAAGCCUUUUCUUUAGGCCUCUUGUAGGAAAAUAUACAGUAUUUCUAAGUGUAAGGCUGAAGAGAGCUUCUUGUUCCUUUAAAUUGGAAAUAUGCACGUUUCUUGUAGGACUGUUUAACUUUCUGCCCUCACUUAUUUUUAUUAAGGUGUUUAUGUAGCUUGAAGGUCUAGGACAUACUUGGAAGAAAACACUUUUGUCUCGGGUUUUCUUCAAAUAAUAAUGAUGAAUCUGUGACUCUUUCUCUCCAGGAGACAUUUUGGAAAGGCGGAAGAGACAAAGUCAUUCAUGUAUUUCUAAGUCAACAACUGAGCAAAAGGUUCUUGUAGGAAACCUACCUGUCUUUUCUCAAAUAACAUAAGCUGGCGAAAUAUUUCCCCCCCCUCGCUUUUGAGAUUACUUCCUGAGUGGUGCUAUGUUUGCUACUGGCUUUUGUGCCAUGUGUUGAACAAGAGCUUACUGUCAGUGCAAACUAAUGAAUUUUCUUCUCGAGGCUGGGUGGCAGAAGCCUUUUCCAUAGAUCCAUGACUCUAUUUACAUUUGUGUCCUGUUAUACAGAGCAUCAUGUUAUGUACGUGCUGAGUAUCAUGUGUCUGCGGUGGAUCCUGCCUUUCAGUUCUAGCUUGUGUGCAUUUUGGAGACUGACCUUUUAAGUACUGAAGCUGAACUAGUUUACAAAAUUAAUUAAAUGCUGAUACAAUAGCAGUUAGUAUCACUGCUACUGAUGUCAGUGUUUGCCAUUACAUUUGAUCAUGUGUUUUUUUUCUAAUUUGAUAGUGAGUUUCAUCUUGGCCACUUCCAACUAUAUUGUGCCUUGAAAAUGUUUGAGAAGUGACUAGCAUUAGCCUGGUAGAGUUUCCUUGUUUGCAUCUCAUUCAUUUUUUCGUUGUAUGUAAUCCUUUUACAAGGAAUUACACAGAUUUAUAAAGGAGCCCCCGAACUGGAUUUGUGUUCUACAAUUAGUAGAUGAAUUACUGUCCGGAGUCAACCUUUCCAACAGCUUGCAGAGGCCAGAACAGGGGACUACUGCUUUUGAUACUUUCAAACUUGGAAGGCAGAUGCGUAUGCAAAAUGGUUUGUGGUGUCCUCAGAGUUCUGGGGGAAGAUUUUCAGCAUCCUGCCCCACAGCCAUGUAAAUUUUCCUUCAUACAAAUGUUCAUUGCUGUCUUUUACAUUCCUCUGCUGACAGUGAAGAGGUCAUGCUAAAUCAAACUGAUGAAGAAACUGGACAUCAUCUUUACCCAGGAUGCCCAAAUUAACUCUACCAAAACAAGAGUAUAUUGCAACCUUUGGAGAGCCAAACACUUUUCUGAAAACCAAACACUUCUAAAGAACAAGUCAUCAUUUGUGACCACUGAUAGGCCACUAGAAAAGCGAAUCUGUCUUUUCAUCAGUGCAUUUUCCCAUGUGAUGCUCUGACAGUACCAGUGCUAUCGGUGGGUAUGUACCAAAUGCAAACAGACCAUA